rnacentral:misc_RNA from 1 species
AAAGAAAGAUCUUGACACAAGAUCAUUAAAAUAUCCAUCACCCACAACUGUACUAUCAUUACCAUCUUUGUCUUGUACUAUAAAACCCUCUGCCAUCCAUAAACGGACCAAAUCCUCUUUGUAAAAUUCAUAACCCUUUGGAAAUAUUCCACAAUAGGCAAAACACUGCUUUAGAUGCGAUGGGAGAUAAUGAUAACUCAAUUUUAAAGCUGGAACGAUAUUGUCACUCAAUAAAUUCCACAUAUUGCUUUGUGAUAUCUUCUUCCAUUCCUCAACAUUUCUCUUGGAUCGAAGGAGACCCCCAAUUGUUUUCACCGCUAAUGGUAGACCGCCACACUUUUUGGCUAUUUCCUUACCA